rnacentral:rRNA from 1 species
GACGAACGCUGGCGGCGUGCCUAAUACAUGCAAGUAGAACGCUGAAGGAGGAGCUUGCUCUUCUGGAUGAGUUGCGAACGGGUGAGUAACGCGUAGGUAACCUGCCUGGUAGCGGGGGAUAACUAUUGGAAACGAUAGCUAAUACCGCAUAACAGUAGAUGUUGCAUGACAUUUACUUAAAAGGUGCAAUUGCAUCACUACCAGAUGGACCUGCGUUGUAUUAGCUAGUUGGUGGGGUAACGGCUCACCAAGGCGACGAUACAUAGCCGACCUGAGAGGGUGAUCGGCCACCCUGGACCUGGGCCCGGCCCCAGACUCCUACGGGAGGCAGCAGAAGGGAAUCUCGGGCAUUGGCCGAAGGCUUGCCGGGGCACGGCGGCGGGAUGGAGGAAGUUUUCCGGUCCUUAAACUUCGUUUUUAAGGGAGGAAGAGUUUGGGAAUUGAAAGUUCACACCGUGACGGUAUCUUACCAGAAAGGGACGGCUAACUACGUG